AACAUAUAUUCGUGCAACGAAGUUUAGCGAACCAGGUCAGAAUCGGAAGAUAGCAGCCUUAAGUGAUUAACUUCGUGUGCACAUUUUAUUUAUAAUA
rnacentral:SRP_RNA from 1 species